rnacentral:rRNA from 1 species
CCUACGGGGGGCAGCAGUGGGGAAUAUUGGACAAUGGGGGCAACCCUGAUCCAGCCAUGCCGCGUGUGUGAAGAAGGCCCUCGGGUUGUAAAGCACUUUCAGUGAGGAAGAACGCCUGGUGGUUAAUACCCAUCAGGAAAGACAUCACUCACAGACGAAGCACCGGCUAACUCCGUGCCAGCAGCCGCGGUAAUACGGAGGGUGCGAGCGUUAAUCGGAAUUACUGGGCGUAAAGCGCGCGUAGGUGGCUUGAUAAGCCGGUUGUGAAAGCCCCGGGCUCAACCUGGGAACGGCAUCCGGAACUGUCAAGCUAGAGUGCAGGAGAGGAAGGUAGAAUUCCCGGUGUAGCGGUGAAAUGCGUAGAGAUCGGGAGGAAUACCAGUGGCGAAGGCGGCCUUCUGGACUGACACUGACACUGAGGUGCGAAAGCGUGGGUAGCAAACAGGAUUAGAUACCCCUGUAGUC